UACAGAGAGUGCAAACGUUGUUCGGAAUCACUGGGCUUAAAGCGCACGUAGGCGGCAUCGUAAGUGUCGGGUGAAAUCCCACGGCUCACCCGUGGAACUGCCCGGCAGACUGCGAUGCUUGAGUGUGGUAGGGGAAAGCGGAACUCCUGGUGGAGCGGUGAAAUGCGUAGAUAUCAGGAGGGACACCGGUGGCGAAGGCGGCUUUCUGGUCCACAACUGACGCUGAGGUGCGAAAGCUAGGGGAGCAAACGGG
rnacentral:rRNA from 1 species